rnacentral:rRNA from 1 species
UACGGAGGAUCCGAGCGUUAUCCGGAUUUAUUGGGUUUAAAGGGUGCGUAGGCGGAAAUGUAAGUCAGUGGUGAAAUUUUGCAGCUUAACUGUAACAGUGCCGUUGAUACUGCAUGGCUAGGAUUUGGUUGCUGUGGGUGGAAUGUGUGGUGUAGCGGUGAAAUGCUUAGAUAUCACACAGAAUAUCGAUUGCGAAGGCAGCUCACAAAGCCAAGAUUGACGCUGAGGCACGAAAGUGUGGGGAUCAAACA